rnacentral:rRNA from 1 species
UACAGAGGGUGCAAGCGUUGUUCGGAAUUACUGGGCGUAAAGCGUGCGUAGUCGGUAUUGAGAGUCGCGGGUGAAAUCCCAGGGCUUAACCCUGGAACUGCCUGCGAGACCUCAGUACUAGAGUGUGAGAGGGGAUAGUGGAAUACCAAGUGUAGCGGUGGAAUGCGCAGAUAUCAGGAGGAACACCGGUGGCGAAGGCGGUUCUCUGGGCAUUACCUGACGCUGAGGAGCGAAAGUGUGGGGAGCGAACAGG